UAUGUGUCAUAUCAACUUCUAAAAAGCCCCUCGUGUUUGAAGGUUACUUUGUGCAUCUCCAGGGGCUGUCAGCCAUGGGUCCACUGCAAAAUUUACAGCUCUAAAUCAAAGCAUAUGCCGCCAAUAAGGAAGAAACUCUGAAAACAGGGUGUAUGAUAGUAUCUGGGUGCCCCCUAGCGUAUGGAUAAUUUCUACCUCAAAAUACUCUCUUUAACGUGCAGGAGCCAUCUUAAAUAGAAAACGGGGUCUCCGGCUGUUCGUCUCUCGCUAACGCCAAAAGCGACGUGCGCUCAUUUUUAAUCUGAUUAUAGCUUUUGAGACUCGUUUCUAAUUGAAACGGACAUGGCACAGCUAUGGGUGUGCGUACACAUUUUUUAUUCGUGCAUGUUGCAGAAGAAGCGGAAUGUUCUUUGCGUAUUUUGCAGUCAGAUGUUUUUAAAAAGUGAGCUCUGUACUCUGCGAGCCAGAAGUCUUACGCAAAACGGACACGUAGGAAAAAACAACGAUACGUUUUGGAAUUUACUGAAAGCCAUUUUUGACUGCGGUGCUGAUGUCAGCAUUCAACUAUGAACUCACCUCAAAGUGAAUGUUCAUUGCUUUGACCUUUUCAUUGUGACAGUGGAGUCUGAGUCCUGAGGUGAGGAAUCCAAAUGACCACCGUUUUUCAAAUGGAAGAGAGUGGGGCUCUUGUCUUCCUAGAUGGCAGGGAGAUUUGUAAGAAGAUGCAUCAACUCCAAUUCUUACAUCUGUUUUGAAUGAUUUUAAUAAAUGUCACCUGAAUUUCAUGCAAUUGCUUGUGUACUUUGUGAGCAUUUUAGUCGAAUUUUAGCAUGCAACCAAACUGCAUUUUAUGAUAAUUAUAGGGAAAAAGUAUAAACAACACAUCUGUGUUAUUUUUUAACACAUCUUUGUGUGGAAAUGUUUAACAUACAGCAUGUGUUAAAUGUACUAACUGUAAAAAUCACUGUACACAGUGAUUGUGUUAAAAGAAACACAAAAUGUGUUGUCCUUAACUAGACACGCAGGUGUGUUAAAAAUUAACAUGAUUCGUGAAGGUUGGUAUCAAUAUAUUUAUCCAUAAAACCAUUACUGUACACUAGAAAAAUCAAAAAUGUGCAAAAACAGAUUAGUGUGCAUGUCACUAAAUGCACCGCUAUCUUUGUUAGCUUUGGCUUACUUUUUUUUAUAAUGCCCACUGGAUCGUAAGUUGGUUACUCAGUUUUUUGAUGUUUUAAACAUUUCCUUUGAUCAAAAUCUGACGUUUUCGUCUUAAAUAUAUGACUUAUUGAGUCAUUUACUUCAAAGUCUAUAUAUAAACACCACUUUAACAGCUCUACCAAUACAUUUCUGAACACAUUCUUGUGUAUAAACAAAGGAGAUACCAUACUGACAUAUUUAUUUAUAAUGUGACAUUUUCAGAGGGUAAAAAUAACUCCCAAAAUAUUAACCGAUUUAUGAAAUAAAUUUAACCCAGAGGUUUUGUAAAAAUGAAAUUAUCCUUCAGAUUGAAAAACAACCCAUUUUCUGGGUUAAAAUGAAUAACCCAACUUGAUGGGUUAGUUUACACAACACAAGUGUGGGCACAACAGAGUGAGGCAGCCUCACAAACUUUAAAAGAGAUUUAAUGAGUUUUGCAUUGUUGUGGUAUUUGUAAAAUGGCCAAGGAGGCUCAGCAACUCUAAAGACACUUGUGUAUUGUCCACAGUAAAACACACAUUGUCAAAUAAGAUUUGGGAUCAAUUACCCAGACAAAUGCCAAUGUUUAUUUGGGUCUCCAGUGAAGAGAGUCAGACCAUGGUGAAGCUGCAGGGCUUCAGUCAAGAUGUUUGCUUUGGCACAGAUACUCCAGGCUUAUUAUGUAACAAGUGUGACACACCAAAGAUAUGUAUACAAUUGGGUAAUGUUUAUUAUGUUCAAUAUAUAUAAAAAUAUCCCAAAAGAAA